rnacentral:rRNA from 1 species
GACGAACGCUGGCGGCGUGCUUAACACAUGCAAGUCGAACGGAAAGGCCCUGCUUUUGUGGGGCGCUCGAGUGGCGAACGGGUGAGUAACACGUGAGUAACCUGCCCUUGACUUUGGGAUAACUUCAGGAAACUGGGGCUAAUAUCGGAUAGGAGCUCCUGCUGCGUGGUGGGGGUUGGAAAGUUUCGGCGGUUGGGGCUGGACUCGCGGCUUAUCAGCUUGUUGGUGGGGUAGUGGCGUACCAAGGCUUUGACGGGUAGCCGGCCUGAGAGGGUGGCCGGGGACAAGAGGACUGCGAGACGGCGCAGACUCGUAUGGGAGGCAACAGGGGGAAAUAUUGCACAGUGAGCGGGAGCCUGAUGCAACGGCGCCGGGUGCGGGAAGACGGGCUUCGGGUGAUGAACCGCUUUGGCCUGAGACGAGGCGUGAGUGACGGUAAUGGAUAAAGAAGCACCGGCUAACUACGUG